GUAACGGCGAGUGAAGCGGCAAAAGCUCAAAUUUGAAACCCUCGGGAUUGUAAUUUGAAGAUUUGGCAUUGGAGAAAGCUAACCCAAGUUGCUUGGAAUAGUACGUCAUAGAGGGUGACAACCCCGUCUGGCUAACCGUUCUCCAUGUAUUGCCUUAUCAAAGAGUCGAGUUGUUUGGGAAUGCAGCUCAAAGUGGGUGGUAAACUCCAUCUAAAGCUAAAUACUGGUGAGAGACCGAUAGCGAACAAGUACUGUGAAGGAAAGGUGAAAAGAACUUUGAAAAGAGAGUGAAAUAGUAUGUGAAAUUGUUGAUAGGGAAGGAAAUGAGUGGAGAGUGGCCGAGGUUUCAGCCGCCCCUCGUGGGCGGUGUACUGCCGACGCCGAGUCAUCGAUAGCGAGACGAGGGUUACAAAUGGGAGCGCCUUCGGGCGUUCUCCCCUAACCCUCCACACUGCCACCGACGACAUAAUCCACCCAUUUCACCCGUCUUGAAACACGGACCAAGGAGUCUAAUGGAUAUGUGAGUGUUAGGGUGGCAAACCCCAGCGCGCAAUGAAAGUGAAUGGAUUCGUUCAGAAUCGACCGAACUUGAUUAUUAUGACAGUUUUGAGUAAACACAUCCAUUGGGACCCGAAAGAUGGUGAACUAUGCCUGGAUAGGGUGAAGUCAGAGGAAACUCUGAUGGAGGCUCGUAGCGGUUCUGACGUGCAAAUCGAUCGUAGGAUCUGGGUAUAGGGGCGAAAGACU
rnacentral:rRNA from 1 species